rnacentral:rRNA from 1 species
CCUACGGGAGGCAGCAGUGAGGAAUAUUGGUCAAUGGGCGAGAGCCUGAACCAGCCAAGUAGCGUGCAGGAUGACGGCCCUAUGGGUUGUAAACUGCUUUUAUGCGGGGAUAAAGUCGGCUACGUGUAGCCGUUUGUAGGUACCGCAUGAAUAAGGACCGGCUAAUUCCGUGCCAGCAGCCGCGGUAAU